AGUGAACGCUGGCGGUAGGCCUAACACAUGCAAGUCGAACGGCAGCACAGUAAGAGCUUGCUCUUACGGGUGGCGAGUGGCGGACGGGUGAGGAAUACAUCGGAAUCUACUUUUUCGUGGGGGAUAACGUAGGGAAACUUACGCUAAUACCGCAUACGCCCUACGGGUGAAAGCAGGGGAUCUUCGGACCUUGCGCGAUUGAAUGAGCCGAUGUCGGAUUAGCUAGUUGGCGGGGUAAAGGCCCACCAAGACGACGAUCCGUAGCUGGUCUGAGAGGAUGAUCAGCCACACUGGAACUGAGACACGGUCCAGACUCCUACGGGAGGCAGCAGUGGGGAAUAUUGGACAAUGGGCGCAAGCCUGAUCCAGCCAUACCGCGUGGGUGAAGAAGGCCUUCGGGUUGUAAAGCCCUUUUGUUGGGAAAGAAAAGCAGCAGGUUAAUACCCCGCUGUUCUGACGGUACCCAAAGAAUAAGCACCGGCUAACUUCGUG
rnacentral:rRNA from 1 species